UGAAGAAAAUUUUCAGUUUCUUCGGCGGCGGUACACCACUCCGUAUAGACUGAAGAUUGAAACAACUCGGUUUCCCGGGAACAGUCUACGAUUACAAUAUUUUAAUAAUUUCAUUCUGAAGCUCAAAGAAGACGAAUGAAGAAAUAAGAGCUAGCUGUUUCUUCGGCGGUGAUGGUGCACGUUUGAACUGUAAAUGUGGUGCAGCUCGAUUUCGCCGAACAGCGUCGAAGAAUACUUACAAUCAUGAUGAAGAUCGUAUGAAGAAAAUUUGGAGUUUAUUCGGCGGCGGCACACCACUCCGUAUACACUGUAGAUUGGACAACUCGGUUUCCCGGGAAGAGUCGACGCUUAAAUCUUGCCAUAAUAUCGGAAAAACAAAAAAAAAAUGAAAUAAUUACGCUAUACAAUGUCAACCCGGAGGACGAUUGACAGUAUCAUUAGGAAGCUGAUGAAUAACAAAAAAAGUGUCGCAGGGCUGUGUUUGUUUAAUACUAUAAUUUUUUGAACAGUAGUACAGUAUAUUAUGAAUAUUUACUUAAAUUAUAUUUAAUUUUUAUGGUUUUUUUUUAGAUAAUAUACUGUACUACGGUUUUAGGUGUUCUUUUUAUUUUAAUAAUACAUUGAAAAAUUACCAACUUUUUCAAUUUUUUUUCUUAUCACAAAGCAAGUUCGUCUUUGUGCAUGUUUAAAUUAAUAUUUUUUAUAGUUAUUGUGCUGUUUAACUUUCUUAUAAAAGAGAGUGAGGAAUUAAAAAGGUGGCCACCGAACAGAAAGUUAAACUGCAAUAUACUAUAAUCUUUUUAGUUCUUGUUUACAUUUUUAACUGAUAAAUUAUGAAUAUAAAAUUUCAAAUUAAUUUAAAUUCAAAAAUAAAAGAACACCAACAUAGAUUUCUUAAACAUUGAAAUUUUAGUAUAAGUUUAAAAUACAUUUAAUCUGCAUAUUAUUUGAAGUUUUAUAGGAACGGAACAUUUAACUGGAUCAUGGACGACUAUCCACCGACGAAGAAUUUGUCAUAGAGCUGAUGGAAAAUGUGUCGGCACUCGGCAUCGUUUCAACACGGAGAACGUCUGGCAGCAUCAAAAAGAAAUUCGACUGAUGAUCAACUGCCCAAAGGAUUUGUUGUGAAGAAGAAGAUGUCACAAAGCUGAUGGAAAAUGGGUCGGCACUCGGCAGUAUUUCAACACGGAGGACGUCUGGGAGCAGCAAAAAUAAAUUCAACUGAUGAUAAUCAACUGUCCAAGUAAAGAAGAAUUCGUCAUUGAGCUGAUGGAAAAUGUGUCGGCACUCGGCUGUAUUUCAACACGGAGGACGUCUGGGAGCAGCAAAAAGAAAUUCAACUGAUGAUAAUCAACUGUCCAAGUGAAGAAGAAUUCGUCAUUGAGCUGAUGGAAAAUGUGUCGGCACUCGGCUGUAUUUCAACACGGAGGACGUCUGGGAGCAGCAAAAAUAAAUUCAACUGAUGAUAAUUAACUGUCCAAGUGAAGAAGAAUUCGUCAUUGAGCUGAUGGAAAAUGUGUCGGCACUCGGCUGUAUUUCAACACGGAGGACGUCUGGGAGCAGCAA